UGUCCUUCCACAUUCUUUUCCCUUUUCGGAAAGGAGUCAAUGCAAGCGAGGACUGCCCUGAGUUCUCCUCUGCCAAAUUCAUCCCGGACCCAAGUCGAGGGUGUGGAAGCUCUGCCCACAGCCUGCUGCCCAGAAGCUCAGUGGGCCUGGACACUGCAUGCAGGGGGAAGAGCAACAGUGAUAACAGAGGAGGCGACAUUCUCCAGCUGCUUCCUGCGCCCCCAUGGUCUGCAGGAGAGGUCGUGCCAUCCUCCAGAGGAGCGGAGGAGGGUUCAGACGUAAAUAAUAGCAGCUACUGACCCCAGGGUCAUCUUUUCUGAACUGCACUCUCAUUGCGUUUGACUAAGGCAGUAGCACAGUAUGUACUGUGACAACCUUAAAUAAAACAUGAACUAAGAAUUUAA